GGUGCUGUGGAGGCAUAGGUGAGUUCAGGUAAGUUAUGUUUGGUUGUGUGAAUCAUCGAUGAUGUGAUAUGUGAUUAAGUAAUGUUGAGCUCAUAAAGUUGCACCUAGGGUGAUUGUGCAUUAGCCAGAGAUAUGAAGUACAUGCCUGUUUAUUUACGUCACCUCCCACACUCUAUGCUCAUAUUGGAUCCAACUUAAGUGCACGGUCUUGUCGUACAGACCUUAUUCAUGGUUCCGACUCGUAGGUGACUAGCGAUUUAUCGUCGGGCUAUUAUGGGAGAAUAGAGUUGAGCAUAAUUAUAUUACACCCAAUCUUGUCGUACAGACACUGUCUAGGGGUUCCGACUUAUGUGCAGUAUAUUGCCGUAUAGGUCAUAGUAGUGACUCUGGCUAGAUUGAGUUUGAGCUAUGAAUUCAGCCGUACAGACUACCAAAGAAGUUUCGGCUAACAUAUCAUAUUUCUAUGAAAUUGUUAUUACUAGGAUUGUUUACUUUGUUACAUUUUGGCAUGGCAUACAUAUGAAUAUGAUUAUGUGAAGCAUG
rnacentral:lncRNA from 1 species